UACGUAGGGCGCAAGCGUUAUCCGGAAUUAUUGGGCGUAAAGAGCUCGUAGGCGGUUUGUCGCGUCUGCCGUGAAAGUCCGGGGCUCAACUCCGGAUCUGCGGUGGGUACGGGCAGACUAGAGUGAUGUAGGGGAGACUGGAAUUCCUGGUUUAGCGGUGAAAUGCGCAGAUAUCAGGAGGAACACCGAUGGCGAAGGCAGGUCUCUGGGCAUUAACUGACGCUGAGGAGCGAAAGCAUGGGGAGCGAACAGG
rnacentral:rRNA from 1 species